AGCGAACGCUGGCGGCAGGCUUAACACAUGCAAGUCGAACGGACCCUUCGGGGUUAGUGGCGGACGGGUGAGUAACACGUGGGAACGUGCCUUUUGGUUCGGAACAACUCAGGGAAACUUGAGCUAAUACCGGAUGUGCCCUUCGGGGGAAAGAUUUAUCGCCAUUAGAGCGGCCCGCGUCUGAUUAGCUAGUUGGUGGGGUAAAGGCCUACCAAGGCGACGAUCAGUAGCUGGUCUGAGAGGAUGACCAGCCACAUUGGGACUGAGACACGGCCCA
rnacentral:rRNA from 1 species